rnacentral:rRNA from 1 species
AUUGAACGCUGGCGGCAGGCCUAACACAUGCAAGUCGAACGAGUGGCGGACGGGUGAGUAAUGUCUGGGAAACUGCCUGAUGGAGGGGGAUAACUACUGGAAACGGUAGCUAAUACCGCAUACCAUCAUAUGUGCCCAGAUGGGAUUAGCUUGGUGGUGGGGUAACGGCUCACUAAGGAGACGAUCCCUAGCUGGUCUGAGAGGAUGAACAGCGACACUGUAACUGAGACACGGUCCAGAGUCCUACGGGAGGCAGCAGUGGGGAAUAUUGCACAAUGGAGGCAAGCCUGAUGCAGCCAUGCCGCGUGAAUGAAGAAGGCCUUCGGAUUGUAAAAUACUUUCGGCAGGGAGGCGUUACCCAAAGAAGAAGCACCGGCUAACUCCGUGCCAGCAGCCGCGGUAAUUC